GCGGGGGUAGUCAAGCCUGGCCAACGGCGCGGGACUUAAGAUCCUGUCCUUAGCGGUUCGUGGGUUCAAAUCCCUCCCCCCGCA
rnacentral:tRNA from 1 species